rnacentral:lncRNA from 12 species
CUGAAUGCAGCUCUGGGGUGUGACCUGCCCAUUCCGGGAACACUUGCAGAAAAUGCGCAACUAACCGAAACGAAGAGAAGCCGCACAGCCAGGCCCCCGGGGCUCCCCUCGCGGCGCCCUCCCACCCGGUGCUCGCGGGGCUCCGAGGGCUGCUCGGCGGGCGCAGACAAAGACGCGGCGGGGCCGGGUUCCGGCCGGAGUCGGGCCGGGCCGGGCCUGGCCGGGGGCUGGGGCGGGGGCGGGGGCCGGAGCGGCGCGGGGCGCGGGCGCGGGCGCGGGCGCGGGGCUCGGGCGCCGGCCUCCGGCGCAGGGCGGCCGAGCGCGCGGGGAGGAGCCGCCACGGCGUCUUCUCAAGGCGGCGCGCACCCGCCCGGCCCCGCGGCGGCGGCGCGUCACGCUCUCCCCCGCCCCGAGCCGACGAUCCCGGAGGCGGGAGGCGGAGGGCGGCGCCCGCACGGCUGCUGCUGCCUGCUGCUGCUGCAGUGGGGCAGGUGGCGGCGAUCGGCGGCGGCCAAGGCUAAAGAGAGCGGGGCGCGGUUCGGGACCUUAUCCCAUUCCCGGAGCCCUCCUCCCCUUCCCUUGCGNNNNNNNNNNCGCCGGGCCCGGCCGGGCUCAGGCCGGGGUGGGGGCCGGGCCGGCGGGCGGAGGGCCGCGGGGGCCGCGCGCGGUGCCGCUCCCGAGGGGGCCCGAGCAGCCCGAGCGGGUGGCCCCGGAGGCCAGGGGUCCCCGGGGUGGCGCCCCCGGGGCCGGGACAGUGGCUGGCCCUGGCAGCGCCGAGCCCGGCCUUCCCUUCCUCCGUCCGCCUCAAGAUGGAGCUUGGACUCCUUGCCCCUGCGCCGCCCCAGGCGUCGCUCCCUCGCGGGCUCCGGCUCGGCUCCCCUCGGCCGGGGCGCAGCGCCGGGGCCGGGGCCGGAGCGGCGGAGCCCGCGGAGCCCGAGCGGCCCGAGCCCCGGCGGGACCUGUUGCCCCCCGGCGCGGCCGCCCGGUGUCCCGAGCGUCCCUUGGGCCCUGCCACCCGGUGCCCGCGAGCCGGAAUGGAGGGCGCCCGGCCGUGGCCUCGGCGUGUGCGCCGCUCGGCGGGCUGGCCCCGUGGCCUCCUGCCUGGCCUGGCCGCGGCUUUGUCCCCCUCCUCCAGGGCUCUCUGGGUCUCGGAGGAGGUGGAUGACAAGAGCUCGGCAGGAUUUCUGA